rnacentral:rRNA from 1 species
GGGAAAUUCAUUCGCGUCUCGGAUAUCGGCGAUGAGCAGCCGCGUGACGGAUGGCGUUCGCGUUGUCCGCGCCUUCUGUUUUUCGAACCGGUGACGAACGCGUGCACUUUUCCCCUAGUAGGACGUCGCGAUCCGUUGGGUGUCGGUCUACGGCUCGCGGUGGAGUCCGUGUGCGAUCGUUUCGGCGAUUCGUGCUCGAACCCGCGAUGUUCCGGCCGACUCGCUCGACGGUAUACAGAUGGCGCGAGGCCGCUACGUUAAUUAGCGUCCGACCCACGGCAAGCGCGUUCGAUGCUAAGACGGCGAUCGGACCUAGUGCCGAUUCCGUUUCCGGACGACUGUUGGCCGUGUGGAUCUCUCGACAGACCUCGUUCGAAACGCUGAUCUGCGACGCUAUAGCUUUGGGUACUUUCAGGACCCGUCUUGAA